AUCGAGCACGAGAUCAAAAAAGGUGAGACAUGAUCAGCCUCGUUCUCGAUUGAAAGGUCUGAACCAAGAGAAAGAUGUCGGAGGACGAAAAGUAAUAGGCUGAACAAAGGCUGGCUCACUAGAUGCAGAGGGCCUAGACUGAAGCUGAGUCCUGAUGGCAUCAAGCCGGGACCAGAUCCCCCUCACAGUAAGUUGGAGCCCAUCU
rnacentral:lncRNA from 1 species